UACGUAGGUGGCAAGCGUUGUUCGGAUUUAUUGGGCUUAAAGGGUGCGUAGGCGGCUUUGUAAGUCAGUGGUGAAAUCUGGCAGCUUAACUGUCAGGGUGCCAUUGAUACUGCGGAGCUUGAGUACAGAUGAGGUAGGCGGAAUUGACGGUGUAGCGGUGAAAUGCUUAGAUAUCGUCAAGAACACCUAUAGCGAAGGCAGCUUACUAGGCUGUAACUGACGCUGAGGCACGAAAGUGUGGGGAUCAAACGGG
rnacentral:rRNA from 1 species